ensembl:lncRNA novel transcript
ACUCUGCAUUUGGACGUGUAAGAUAGUAGAGAAGGGUCUCUACAAUUUAAGUAGCAGAGGGAUAAGACAGCGCACCUUUCACUUGAGCUUCAACAUGGGAAAGGGAAACGAAGACCCCUAUCUCCACUGCUCCUCCAUCCAAUGUUCCACUGACCAGCCCCCUUUCCAACAGAUCUCCUUUACAGGAAAGGGCUCAGAUGAGAAGAAACCGUUCAAAGGAAAAGGCAAGACCGCCUCUUCCCAUUCCAGUGAGAAGCACAUACAAAGGCAAGUAGGAUUAGAGCCAAAUCCAAAAAUCCAAAAGAGGAGGAGAAGUCCCAGGAGACCAAGCCCAAAGCCAGAAACAGCACUGCUAGAUUAGGUAAGAUUUGACUCUUUGAAGGUGAGAAGGGACAGGGCAACAACACAGGCUUUCCUGGCAAGGAAACUGGGAGCUCCUUGGCAGCCAGGGCCAUACAGAUCCUGGACACUGCAGAACAGAAGAGAGCUGGGGUUUGGUGGCAACCUGAGCUCCUGCGUGUCCAGGAUGGACUAGGAAUUUCAGGGUAUUCAGUUGGAGGCACUAUU